rnacentral:lncRNA from 10 species
UGGGGCCUCAGCGGAACAUGGAGUUCCUCCCGCCCUGACAUCAUAGCCCCCGCCUGGGAGGCCUCCUGGAUGACUCCUCUUGCCUCCUCCCUUCCCUGGGAGCAGCCCCUGGCUCAACCUCCACCUCCAUGCUGCCUUGGACCACCUGCCCCGUCCAGCUGCCAUCACCUGUCAGGGUGAGCCACCGCACCUGAUCAAGGCAUCACCGUUGAACCUCCUAAGGGGAAAACAUAAGGCUGUGCAAUACCAGGAACUGGGAUUCUAGGUUGCCCCAGAUACCAAGGCAUCAAAAGCCAGGGGAUCCAGAAAAAACAAAGAUGGCCAAGAGAGAAACUGGGGGAAAAGCCAAAAGGUUGAGAGCCACACCAUCUAGAAGCUUCCUGCCUGCGGUGCGGCACAGAAACAAGAAGAGUCAGCAAUUACCAGCCAGCCGAGGUCCUGGAAGCUGACGUAGAGCUCGUGCCGACGGCAGACCUGCCGGCCGUGGGAGCCGUGGACGUCAUCUGCAGGGACAGAAGGGGCAAGGUCUUUUCUGGGGUUCCUACUGUGUGCAGCUACUAUGGGGUACCAGGGUGGGGGAUGCCCUGAUGAGCACAUUUGUCAAAUAAAUGAAUGACAGGAAACCA